rnacentral:lncRNA from 1 species
UAGCAAUCACUGAGGAAAGAGAGAGAAAGGUAUUUCCCCAAGGUUAUAAAACAAGUUGAGAAACAGCCAAGCUUGGAAGACAGAUUAACAGGAUUCAUAUCUACUAGUACUUUCCUGUGUACUUCCUAUUAAAUCAGAAACCAAUUUCAUGACUCCAUGGGUCAAGGGUUAAUGUCCUCCUACUGCAACAUAAAGUAUUUUUCAUCUGAUCACACUGUGGGCAUUGGCUGAAAAAUGAAUCUGCUAUCCAUGAGGGACCAAGAC